AACAAUCUGGAGAGUAGUUAAUGGAGUCGGUGACUCAGCUCACUUUGCUGUGGUUUCUGCUCUGUCAUCAGCAUGGAUGUCUGGUCAUUUUCGUAGAAACCAAGGAGAGUCCUGGAAGAAAUGAUGAGAAAAACCCUGGAGCAAAAUACUUUACCAAAAAAGGACAAAAUAAGGCUUGUGACUGCAAUUUAAAAAUUGUUAAAGGACACCGUUUCAUAGGGAAUAAAUGAGAAGUGGGUAAUGACUGUUUAUUUGAAUGAUUCAAUGCAAAUUCCCUGGAACAGUAAAUCUGGCCCAGUUUGUUUAAAGUAGAACAUGUUUGACCUGAAACUUCUCGGAAAUACAAAUAUUUUGUAAGAGAUUUUCAGAUAAUGGAGUCUGGUCCCUCUGUCCAUGGGCCAUCAGCACCUGCAGUUCACACCACACUUUCCAGGGAAGAAGGCAUCUACAGCACACCACCCACUGCAGGAACAGUGCAGAUUCCCACAUCUACAGCACAGCACCCACUGCAGGAACAGCACAGUUUCCCACAUCUACAGUGCAGCACCCACUGCAGGAAGAGCGCAGAUUCCCACAUCUACAGUGCAGCACCCACUGCAGGAACAGCGCAGAUUCCCACAUCUACAGCUCAGCACCCACUGCAGGAAGAGCGCAGAUUCCCACAUCUACAGAACAGCACACACUGCAGGAACAGUGCAGAUUCCCACAUCUACAGCUCAGCACCCACUGCAGGAACAGCGCAGAUUCCCUCAUCUACAGCACGGCACCCACUGCAGGAACAGCACAGAUUCCCACAUCUACAGUACGGCACCCACUGCAGGAACAGCGCAGAUUCCCACAUCUACAGCACAGCACCCACUGCAGGAACAGCACAGAUUCCCACAUCUACAGUACGGCACCCACUGCAGGAACAGUGCAGAUUCCCACAUCUACAGUACGGCACCCACUGCAGGAACAGCGCAGAUUCCCUCAUCUACAGCACAGCACCCACUGAGGGACAGUGCAGAUUCCCACAUCUACAGCACAGCACCCACUGCAGGAACAGCACAGAUUCCCACAUCUACAGUACGGCACCCACUGCAGGAACAGUACAGAUUCCCACAUCUACAGUACGGCACCCACUGCAGGAACAGCGCAGAUUCCCUCAUCUACAGCACAGCACCCACUGAGGGACAGUGCAGAUUCCCACAUCUACAGCACAGCACCCACUGCAGGAACAGCACAGAUUCCCACAUCUACAGUACGGCACCCACUGCAGGAACAGUGCAGAUUCCCACAUCUACAGUACGGCACCCACUGCAGGAACAGCGCAGAUUCCCUCAUCUACAGCACAGCACCCACUGAGGGACAGUGCAGAUUCCCACAUCUACAGUGCAGCACCCACUGCAGGAACAGUGCAGAUUCCCACAUCUACAGCACAGCACACACUGCAGGAACAGUGCAGUUUCCCUUGCGUCGCCCAGCAUAUGCAAUCCCCACUGCACGGAAGUCACCUGCACAACGCUGGAGUUGCCAACGGUUUGUGUUUCUAAGUUCCACUUGGGAGUUAGAUCUCAUCUUUAAUAAUAAUAGUUAAAUCCUUGUUUCGUUCAAGUUUAAAUGUGUAUAAACUCUGAAAUUCUAUUUUUACAGAUAGCUACAAAAGCUCACAAAAUAUAUCACUUCAAAUCCCUACAUGUUAUGUCUCCUGGGCAUACAAACUACAUUGAUGGUAAUGAACUACCAGAGUUUAAAUCUUAUGUUUCUUCUAAAUAAUGAACUCCUGUUUGUCAACCUGUAUUUUCACUUUUUUCUAUACUCCUGUGCAGUGUAUUUAAAGAAAGAAAUAUGGAAAAUAGUGAAAGACAUAGAAAAGAGUGGUCUAUCACCAACCUUCCCCCUUCCUCUCUUGUAUAUUGGAAAUCUCCAUCUAUGUAGCCCAAUUACAUCUCUUCAUUAGUCUGAUUUGGUGUUACUCACUUUUAAAAUAUAGUUGUUUGCAAAGUCUGAAAAUUAUCUUGAAAAAUGCAAAUUUUUUAAUGUGUACAAUUCUAUUUGUGCUAAAUAAAUUUAGACCUUUCUUAUAUUCAA
rnacentral:lncRNA from 1 species